ACCUCCCCCUGCAGGUGGCUGUGCCACCGCGGAAGCCAGGCCAAGGAAAAUGUGGCAACCCAGAGCAGAGACCCCGGCCAGAACCCCAGAGAACUCACAGCCCAGGUUGAACUUCGUCCCUCAAAAAGACAAGUUCAACCCUCACUGCCGGUGCCGAUAAAUGUGAUCUUAUUGGAACCUGAUCUUUGCAGAUGAGAUUCCAUAAGAUGAGGCCAGAUCACAUUAGGGGCCCUAAUCCAGGAAGUGACGUCAGUAUGAGAACAGGAAGUUCCAAUACGACACACAGGAGGACGGCCAUACAACCAGGGCAGACUGACUGGGUCCAUGUUGCCACGGCCAAGAGGGGAUGGCCAGAAGCCACCAGACGCUCGGAGGCAGGAAGGGCCCCCUCUGUACCCUCAGCAGGGCCACGCCGUGCCAACCCCUGGAUUGCAGGCUUCUGCCUCCAGCCCGAGGAAGAUUCCUGGUCAUUUUAGGUCACCUGCUUUGCGGUCCUGUCACGGCAGGGCCCCUUCCCGGUGCCUCUGCUCUCCUCACACAGGCAUUGCCACCUCCCUAAGCAACCUGGCUUCCCCUCCCCGCUGCGCAAACCCCACCCCAAUGGUGAGGAGCAUGGUGGGCCUCCCAGCAACCCAGCUCAAGCCGUCCACACAGGCUGGUCCAGCUUCAGAAGUCCGUCAUUUCAACAGCUGUGGCCUGUGAUCCUAGCACUUGGGAGGCUGAGGCAGGAGGAUCAUUGAGAAUUUGAGCCCAGCCUGGGCUGCACUGUGAAUUCAAGGCCAGCCUGAACUGCACAGCCAGACCCUGCCUCAAAAAACCAAAAAAGCCAUUGUAAAAAAAUGGAAAUUUGUACAGCAGCACUAUUUAGCCACCAAAAGGUACAAACAAUGCAUGUGUCGGUCACUGGUGGGUAAAUAAACAAAAAUGUGUUAAAGCUACACAGCAGAACAUUGUUUGACUAUAAAAAAGGA
rnacentral:lncRNA from 1 species